GCAAGUAUAGCACAAUGGUUAGUACGUUAGCCUUCCAAGCUAGGGAUGAGAGUUCGAUUCUCUUUAUUUGCU
rnacentral:tRNA from 1 species